rnacentral:rRNA from 1 species
GACAGAGGUCCCGAGCGUUAGGCGGAAUCACUGGGCUUAAAGCGUGUGUAGGCGGAUCGUUAAGUGCUUUGUGAAAUCCCACGGCUUAACCGGGGAACGGCCGGGCAUACUGGCGGUCUUGGGCCACCUAGGGGUCAUCGGAACAGGCGGUGGAGCGGUGAAAUGCGUAGAUAUCGAGAGGAACACCUGCGGCGAAGGCGGGUUGCUGGGCCGACACUGACGCUGAUGCGCGAAAGCCAGGGGAGCGAACGGG